rnacentral:rRNA from 1 species
AGAACUUAGCAGAGAUGCUUUGGUGCCUUCGGGAACUCUGAGACAGGUGCUGCAUGGCUGUCGUCAGCUCGUGUUGUGAAAUGUUGGGUUAAGUCCCGCAACGAGCGCAACCCUUAUCCUUUGUUGCCAGCGGUUAGGCCGGGAACUCAAAGGAGACUGCCAGUGAUAAACUGGAGGAAGGUGGGGAUGACGUCAAGUCAUCAUGGCCCUUACGAGUAGGGCUACACACGUGCUACAAUGGCGCAUACAAAGAGAAGCGACCUCGCGAGAGCAAGCGGACCUCAUAAAGUGCGUCGUAGUCCGGAUUGGAGUCUGCAACUCGACUCCAUGAAAUCGGAAUCGCUAGUAAUCGUGGAUCAGAAUGCCACGGUGAAUACGUUCCCGGGCCUUGUACACACCGCCCGUCACACCAUGGGAGUGGGUUGCAAAAGAAGUAGGUAGCUUAACCUUCGGGAGGGCGCUUACCACUUUGUGAUUCAUGACUGGGGUGAAGUCGUAACAAGGUAGGCGUAGUGCU